CUCUUCCUUCCUUCCUUCUUUCCUCCCUCCAUUUUGCCAUUUAGCAGACAUUUACAUAGUUUACUGUGUACCAGGCACAUUGCUAGGUGCUAGAGAUCGAGUAUCGUCCUCAUGGAGCUUACUAGCAAAAAACUAAGCAACUCACUAGUAAACUAACAAGUAACUCUAGUGUAGUUAGUGCUAUAACAGUUUCGAGGGGUAGAAGUAGAGUAGAGAUGGAAACUAAGUUAGGCUGGCUCCCUAGGGAAAGAGGUAUCUUAAAGGAUGAAUCCAGAAAGGAUUCUGGAGCAGCCCAACCACCCUCACAUUCCUCACCCUCAGAUAUUCAGGACUUCCUUCUCCACACAGGGCCUCUUUCUACUCAGCCCCUAAGAUUUUCCUGUUCUCCAAGAAAAGGGAAGAAUAAGAAAUCUACAGGACUGGGCAGAAUUUCACCUCUCGAGGCUGCAACUGCUUCUUCUCACAGAACUUCCUUAUUAAAUGGGGAACGAGCACAUGUGAAAGGCACAUUCACAUCUAGUUGACUCUUUCUCUAUGAUGAAAAUAGAGAAAUUGAAAAAAUAUUUUAAAAGUGACAUCUUCGAAGUAAACUGGGAACAACUGUUCAAAAUGCUGUGUGCCAAGAAUAAGUGUGGGGAGAUUUCCACACCUGGGAAAUUUGUUUUCAGCUUUCCAACCACCCUGGAAUAGGUCAAGAUGGUGCAGGCCGAUCAUCAUGUGAGGCACGGAGAAGCUGAAGGCGAUUUCAUCCUUCAGUGCGGACUAAGCAGCCAGCAUGUCCCUGUUCGUGGUGUGGAUCGCUCGCCAAGCAAAACAUGGGGCUGUAUGCCUAGGCAAUAUUGAAUAACCCUGCUUGGAUCCAAAAAGACGGUGCAAAGGAUAUUAACUUGUCAAAACUCGGAGUCAUUUCCAAGGAUAGCCAAAAGAAAGAACCAACAAUCUGCAAAUUCCAAGCCAGCAGAAAACCAAGUCCAGUUAUGCAAACAAGAAGGCAAUAACUAUUGUUGGGAGAGAAAGAAUAAAUAAUGGGUCUGGAUUUGCAAAGGGAGGGAUGUGACAUUUUAUUUUCCUCUCUGGACUGGGUGCUCCAGACAGAAAUUUAGAAGAAUUGAUUCUGGUAAGCAUUUUUACCUUUGGCUGUCCUUUGCCAGUUUUUCCAGGAUCCCCUCUGCAAGAUCUGGUAUCUACCAGCAUUUCCCCUUGGCUGUUUAAAGGAAUAAUAUAGCAGUUUACCAGGAAAUCCUUCAGUUUGGACAACACUAGAAGGGGUUCAAAUGAGGCCUCCCUUGAAGGUAGAUAUGGGGGUGUCUGUAAAGCCAUGAACUUGGCAGAUUUUUGUUUAUGGUUGUGUAGUCUUUUCAGAGUGGAAAAACAAAUCAGACAAUGAAUACUUGAAGGAAGGAAGAGGGGAGCAGUCUUUUCCCUUAUGUGCCUUUUAUAUCUUUACUUUUUUUUUAGCCUUUUGCAGUGAAUCUUUCAAUAAAACUGCUUUGGAAUUUUGAA